rnacentral:rRNA from 1 species
CCCUUAGAUGUUCUGGGCUGCACGCGUGCUACACUGAUAUUGCCAAUAUGUCAUUCUUAUCCGAAAUGGAUUGGGUAAUCAAGUAAUGAAAUUUCAUGCUUGGAAUCGGUAAUUGCAAUUUUAUCGUGAACGAGGAAUUCCUAGUAAGCACUAGUCAUCAGCUAAUGUUGAUUAUGUCCCUGCCCUUUGUACACACCGCCCGUCGCUCCUACCGAUUGAAUGUUCCGGUGAGCUCUUCGGACUGCGCGGUCUGCAGUUUCUGCGUUCCGUGCGGAAAGUUGCGCAAACCUUAACAUUUAGAGGAAGGAGAAGUCGUAACA